rnacentral:lncRNA from 1 species
GAUCUAUGACAUGAAUUUAUAUACAUAAAAAUCUUAAUCUAAAAUGACAAGCAUAUGAACCAAAAAACAAUAUUUAGUAAUAGAUCUAAUCUACCACUUCUAGGUUUCGAACCUAAUACCUGAGCAUGGAUAAUCAAACUUCAUAAUUGAGAAUGUAGAUCUAGAAGUCCUCUCUAAUCACUUGCAGCCGUACAAGCAUCCGACCACUAUGGAUGGUCCACAUGAAACCCUC